CUCCUUUUGGUGUCAGUUGACUUGAUUGGGCGGGUCCAAUAUCAGCCGGAUUCCCCUUGAGAGACUUUGGGGAGGCCUGACGGUCUCACCCAAUGGCUUGGGGUUCUGCCGGCUGUGAGGGGUGGCGAUUAACUCACUUUAAGCAAUCAACUCUAAAGACAGCUCGAUUGGCUAGCAUUGCUGGCUGUAGACUGAACAAAUACAGACAACUCUCAACAACGGAUAUCUUGGCUCCCGUAACGAUGAAGAACGCAGCGAAAUGCGAUACGUAGUGUGAAUUGCAGAAUUCCGUGAACCAUCGAAUCUUUGAACGCAAAUUGCGCUCGAGGCUUCGGCCAAGAGCAUGUCUGCCUCAGCGUCGGCUACUACCCUCAACUAAGUUUCCUAUGAAAGACUAGGGGAUGCCAGUUGGAUAUGGCAGUCCGGUUUGCCUUUCAGGUUGCCGGUCAGCUGAAAUAUAUUCACGCUCUGGGGGCUGCUUUCCUUGAUAGGCUACUUUCAAGGGGAGGCGAGUUCCGAUUUGGUAGGUGACCUUUGCCGGUUACAUGCCUUCGUUGCUCGCUAAGCGUCCCAGUAGUCGUUGUGCAGGACGCCUUUUGGCUUUCGACCUGAGGUCAGGCAAGAACACCCGCUGAACUUAAGCAUAUCAAUAAGCGGAGGAAAAGAA
rnacentral:rRNA from 1 species